CCAAGUGGAUGAAUCUACAGUGUCCCUCCCCCUGAAAGUGGUGCCAGCUCCUCCCCGUCUUCCCUGGCUGUGAACACAUACCACCAGAGAGCUCCUAAUAUAGACCACGAGUAGUAAAGGGUAAAGAAGUGAACACCGUCAACAGCUGAAAACUUCCUUUUCAUGGACACAACAGACUCAUGGAGCCUCCUUCACAGGUGUCAAUCCCAAAAAAGAAGAGGGAAAUGCAGAAACAAGAAGCUGACGCCGCAGUCUACAUGAACUUCAUGAAGAGCCACCGCUGCUACGACGCCAUUCCAACCAGCUGUAAACUGGUCAUAUUUGACACCACGCUACAAGUGAAAAAGGCCUUUUUUGCUCUGGUGGCAAACGGCUUGAGGGCUGCGCCGCUGUGGGACAACAAGCUGCAGAGAUUUGUGGGAAUGCUGACGAUUACAGAUUUCAUCAACAUGCUGCACUGCUAUUACAAGUCUCCGAUGGUCCAGAUGUACGAGCUGGAGAACCACAAGAUCCAGACAUGGCGAGACGUCUAUCUGCAAUAUUCCGAUUUCUUCCUCAUCAGUAUCUCUCCAGAGGCCAGCCUCUUCGAUGCCAUUUAUUCCUUACUCAAAUAUAAGAUCCACAGGCUUCCCGUCAUCGAUCCAGAGUCUGGAAACGUCCUGCACAUUCUCACACACAAAAGAAUCCUCAAGUUCCUUCAUAUAUUCAGGAGACAAAUUCCCAAGCCUGCGUUUAUUCGGAGGCCGAUCAAGGAACUCGGGAUCGGAACGUUCAGGAACAUCGCCACAGUUCAGGAAACAGCGUCGCUGUACGAGGCGCUCUCUAUAUUCGUGGACAGACGAGUGUCGGCUCUGCCGGUGGUCAACGACCAAGGUAAAGUGGUGGCGCUCUACUCAAAGUUUGAUGUCAUUAAUCUCGCCGCCCAGAAGAGUUACAACAACCUGGACAUCACGAUGCAGGAGGCCGUCAGCAGGCGCAGGUGCUUUGUUGAGGGAGUGAUCAAGUGCUAUCCUCACGAAAGCCUGGAGAUUAUCAUGGAUCGCAUUGUCAGAGCCGAGGUCCAUCGGCUGGUUCUGGUGGACAGGAGUGACGAGGUGAAGGGCAUCAUCUCUCUGUCGGACCUGCUGCAGGCCAUGGUCCUCACUCCUGCAGGUAUUGACGCUCUUUGGUCCUAACACCGGGGGGGAAAUGGCGUCCCUUUCCUCUACCACCUGUGCAGACCUGAGUCCUGGCCGUGUGUCCAGGCAGAAAUCACCGUGUGAUCGAAACGAGAAAAUCACCUGGAAGAGAAAUCCCCCGCCUGUGCCGUUGUUUACAUUACAUACAUUAAAGGGAUAGUUCAGGGUUAGUUGAGUUUUUUUCUUUGCACAGUAUACAUGUAGUAGAACAUGGGACACAGCCACUUAAUAAAAGACUCCAUCAUUUGCUGCUUUAUCUCAUCAUUAGACAACCUUUUCCGCCUGGAAAGAGGACAUUUUGGAAAACGUUUGCUCUCCUGCACCAAACCCCACAGAGAAAAUCAGUGAUUUUAGCUCAUGGUGACACAGGAGCUGCUGGUCGUCUGCUGCCUCGUGUGGUCACUUUGUGCCACUGAGGUUAAUCUGAACAAAGUCAAUCAAAUGCCGAAGUGACAAGAUGUCACAUAUGAAUUUACUGAUGGAGGCAGCAGUGGAUCAACAACUCCUGUGUGCUGUGAUGUUAAAAUCAUUGAUUUUCUCCAUGGAGUUUGGUGUGGGAGAGUGAGUGGUUUGUAAAGUUCUUUUUUCUUUCAGAAAAGCAAGAUAAAGUGGUUAAUACCUUAAGUUAAGGUAGAUUUUAUGAGUUGAGGCUUUUGUUAAGUGGCUUCUCUUACUAUGUCAAACUUUUUUUUCACUUGAAAAACCCUCAACAAUCCCUUUAAGAUUUUUACUGUAAUCUGCAUUAAAUCCAUGCAGAUUUCACUUAAAAAAAAACCUCAACUAUCCUUUCAGAUUUUAACUGUAAUCUGCAUUAAAUCCAUGUAAAGGUUUUUUCACUUAAAAAACCCUCAACUAUGCCUUUAAGAUGUUUUCUGUAAUCUUUAUUAAACACAUGUAAAUGUUUUUUUUCCACUUAAAAACCCCCUCAACUAUCCCUCAAGAUGUGUUGUGUAAUCUGCAUUAAAUCCAUGUCAAACAUUG